CCUCAAAGCAGGGAUGAGCCCUAAGGGGGUGCAGGUGGAAUGAGAGUCUGCACAGGAGCCUCUUAUCUGUGCCCAUGACAAGAUGGCAUUGGUGGCAGACAUAAUUGACUCCACUCUACAGAAGAAACAGACUUGAGGAUGUUACGUGACUUAUCCAAAGUCAUGAAGUGGGUAUGUGGCAGCUCCAGGUCCCAAAACCAGGCCUUCUUACUGCUUGGAGCCAGUCUUACCACCACUGCCCCAACUAGCUGAGGGGCUUUGGAGAUAGAUACUUGGGGAUGUCUAUAGCCGUGCCUGCCCAAGCCAAAACUUCUAAGGAAAUCAUCACGGACACGCAUCCAGGGUUCCACCUAACCUUAUGGGAACAUAAAGUCAGAGCUAUGAUGGAUAUAACUAGAAGACUCCAUUAUGCAAUCAAGAUCUCUCCUGGAAUACUAUAGUUGAAAAUGAUGCUCCGUUGACUAGAUGUGACAAGCCAUUUUAAAGAACAAAGUUUGGGGGCACCUGGCUGGCUCAGUUAGUAGUGUUCGACUCUUGAUCUCGGGGUUGUGAG